CCAAACUUGGUCAUUUAGAGGAAGUAAAAGUCAUAACAAGGUCUCCGUAGGUGAACCUGCGGAGGGAUCAUUAAGGAUUGGCACGCAAGUGCUGUUCUCAAUACCAUACCACACACCGUGCACUGUUAAUUGAAGGGGGUUGUAGUAAUACGACCUUCUGACCAUACCUAAACAAGAAGUCUUGAACGUACCAUAUUAUAACCUAAUAUAACUUUCAACAACGGAUCUCUUGGCUCUCGCAUCGAUGAAGAACGCAGC
rnacentral:misc_RNA from 1 species